GAAUUCGCCCUUAGAGUUUGAUCCUGGCUCAGGAUGAACGCUGGCGGCGUGCCUAACACAUGCAAGUCGAACGGAGUUCUUAAGGAAUGCGACUUCGGUCAAAUGACUUUUGAACUUAGUGGCGGACGGGUGAGUAACGCGUGAGCAACCUGCCUUUCAGAGGGGGAUAACAUUUGGAAACAGAUGCUAAUACCGCAUAAGAUUACAGUACCGCAUGAUACAGUGAUCAAAGGAGCAAUCCGCUGAAAGAUGGGCUCGCGUCCGAUUAGAUAGUUGGUGAGGUAACGGCUCACCAAGUCGACGAUCGGUAGCCGGACUGAGAGGUUGAACGGCCACAUUGGGACUGAGACACGGCCCAGACUCCUACGGGAGGCAGCAGUGGGGAAUAUUGCACAAUGGGCGAAAGCCUGAUGCAGCAACGCCGCGUGAGGGAAGACGGUUUUCGGAUUGUAAACCUCUGUUUUCGGUGACGAACAAAUGACGGUAACCGAGUAGGAAGCCACGGCUAACUACGUGCCAGCAGCCGCGGUAAUACGUAGGUGGCAAGCGUUAUCCGGAAUUACUGGGUGUAAAGGGAGCGCAGGCGGGAUAGCAAGUCAGCUGUGAAAACUAUGGGCUCAACCCAUAAACUGCAGUUGAAACUGUUAUUCUUGAGUGGAGUAGAGGCAAGCGGAAUUCCGAGUGUAGCGGUGAAAUGCGUAGAUAUUCGGAGGAACACCAGUGGCGAAGGCGGCUUGCUGGGCUCUAACUGACGCUGAGGCUCGAAAGUGUGGGGAGCAAACAGGAUUAGAUACCCUGGUAGUCCACGCCGUAAACGAUGA
rnacentral:rRNA from 1 species